GGGGCUGCACUGGUUUCGACAGGGAUGUCGCUUUGCUUAUGCUGCAGUCGAGUGGUGACGUAAUUACCAAAACAAAAUAACUGCCAAUCGUGGUUAUAUGAGCGCACCUCGCGCUCAAGUUUGCUGCGCUGCUUAAUAGCUUCCGACAUAGGAACCGACCAACUGGCCGGACAGCACGGACUCUAGGGUUUAGCCCAUCACGCCUAGAUCAUCCGUCAUACCAAUGGGAUAAGAUCUAACAGUAGUUAAGUUAGUUAGAUACUAAAAUUUGUUUGGCUCGCAAUUCAUGUUUUGUCAAUAUUGUUGAUGAAUUGUUAAAUGAUCAAUGUUGUCUAAACUGUAGAUGCGUUUGACAGGCCAUCCUUGGACACGAGUUCAAUUCUCGUCAGCUCCACCA
rnacentral:tmRNA from 1 species